GGGGAAAUAGCUCAGUUGGUUAGAGCAAUAGAAAUUCAAUUAAGAAGGUUCGACUCCUUCCCACA
rnacentral:tRNA from 1 species